rnacentral:rRNA from 1 species
AGACCCGAAACCCGGUGAUCUAGCCAUGGGCAGGUUGAAGGUUGGGUAACACUAACUGGAGGACCGAACCGACUAAUGUUGAAAAAUUAGCGGAUGACCUGUGGCUGGGGGUGAAAGGCCAAUCAAACCGGGAGAUAGCUGGUUCUCCCCGAAAGCUAUUUAGGUAGCGCCUCGUGAAUUCAUCUCCGGGGGUAGAGCACUGUUUCGGCUAGGGGGCCAUCCCGGCUUACCAACCCGAUGCAAACUGCGAAUACCGGAGAAUGUUAUCACGGGAGACACACGGCGGGUGCUAACGUCCGUCGUGAAGAGGGAAACAACCCAGACCGCCAGCUAAGGUCCCAAAGUCAUGGUUAAGUGGGAAACGAUGUGGGAAGGCCCAGACAGCCAGGAUGUUGGCUUAGAAGCAGCCAUCAUUUAAAGAAAGCGUAAUAGCUCACUGGUCGAGUCGGCCUGCGCGGAAGAUGUAACGGGGCUAAACCAUGCACCGAAGCUGCGGCAGCGAACGUAUCACCCAAGACAACUUUACGGAGUUGACGAUUGACGGAGCGAAGCGACGUCAAAGCGUUCAUUAAAGUCGAGUUGGCUUAGGGAUACGUUCGUUGGGUAGGGGAGCGUUCUGUAAGCCUGUGAAGGUGUGUCGUGAGGCAUGCUGGAGGUAUCAGAAGUGCGAAUGCUGACAUAAGUAACGAUAAAGCGGGUGAAAAGCCCGCUCGCCGGAAGACCAAGGGUUCCUGUCCAACGUUAAUCGGGGCAGGGUGAGUCGACCCCUAAGGCGAGGCCGAAAGGCGUAGUCGAUGGGAAACGGGUUAAUAUUCCCGUACUUGGUGUUACUGCGAAGGGGGGACGGAGAAGGCUAUGUUGGCCGGGCGACGGUUGUCCCGGUUUAAGCGUGUAGGUGUGUGUUCCAGGUAAAUCCGGUUCACUUUAACACUGAGGCGUGAUGACGAGGCACUACGGUGCUGAAGCAACAAAUGCCCUGCUUCCAGGAAAAGCCUCUAAGCAUCAGGUAACAUCAAAUCGUAC